rnacentral:rRNA from 1 species
AUUGAACGCUGGCGGCAUGCUUUACACAUGCAAGUCGAACGGUAACAGCACUUCGGUGGCUGACGAGUGGCGAACGGGCGAGUAAGACACCGGAACGUGCCUAGUAGUGGGGGAUAACUACUCGUAAGAGUAGCUAAUAUCGCAUGAGAUCUAAGGAUGAAAGCAGGGGACCUUCGGGCCUUGCGCCACUAGAGCGGGUGGUGGCAGUUGAGGAAGUUGGUGGGAUAAAAGCUUACCAAGCCGAAGGUCUGUAGCUGGUCCGAGAGGGCGAGCAGCCACACUGGGGCUGAGCCGCGGCCCCGCCUCUUACGGGCGGCCGCGGUGGGGACUGUAGGCCAAUGGGCGCAAGCCUGCACCAGCGAUGCCGCCUGGAGGAUGAAGGCCUGCGUGUUGUAAGCUGCUUUUCUGCGGAACGAAAGCCCCUCUUCUUAUCCAGGAGGGUCUUGACGUUACCGUAAGAGUAGGCACCGCCUACCUCCUU